rnacentral:tRNA from 1 species
GGAGUUGUGGUUCAGUGGCAGAGCACUUGCCUCUCAUGUAUGAGACACUGGGUUCAAUCCUCAGCACCA